rnacentral:lncRNA from 1 species
UCUGCUUCAGUGGACCCGGGGAGGGCGGGGAAGUGGAGUGGGAGACCUAGGGGUGGGCUUCCCGACCUUGCUGUACAGGACCUCGACCUAGCUGGCUUUGUUCCCCAUCCCCACGUUAGUUGUUGCCCUGAGGCUAAAACUAGAGCCCAGGGGCCCCAAGUUCCAGACUGCCCCUCCCCCCUCCCCCGGAGCCAGGGAGUGGUUGGUGAAAGGGGGAGGCCAGCUGGAGAACAAACGGGUAGUCAG